rnacentral:ncRNA from 1 species
GUUCCGGUCCUGUGAGUUAAAAGGGAAUCCAGUGUGAAUCUGGGGCUGACGCGCAGCGGUAAGGAAGGGUGAGAUGAUAGCGAAAGCAGACACUGCUUAUACCCUAAAUAAUUCGAGUUGCAGGCAGGCGGCAACGCAGCGAGUCCCCAGGAGCUUACUGAAGUAAGUGACUGGGGUGAGCGAGAAAAGCCAACGCACAUGCAACUUGAAGUAUGACGGGUAGAUAUAAAGUGGGAAGUCAUCAUCUUGUAGUACCUCCAAGCCCGAAGACCUGCCGGAGUUA